rnacentral:rRNA from 1 species
GACGAACGCUGGCGGCGUGCUUAACACAUGCAAGUCGAACGGAAAGGCCCUGCUUUUGUGGGGUGCUCGAGUGGCGAACGGGUGAGUAACACGUGAGUAACCUGCCCUUGACUUUGGGAUAACUUCAGGAAACUGGGGCUAAUACCGGAUAGGAGCUCCUGCUGCAUGGGGGGGGUUGGGAAGGUUCUGCGGUUGGGGAUGGACUCGCGGCUUAUCAGCUUGUUGGUGGGGUAGUGGCUUACCAAGGCUUUGACGGGUAGCCGGCCUGAGAGGGUGACCGGCCACAUUGGGACUGAGAUACGGCCCAGACUCCUACGGGAGGCAGCAGUGGGGAAUAUUGCACAAUGGGCGGAAGCCUGAUGCAGCAACGCCGCGUGCGGGAUGACGGCCUUCGGGUUGUAAACCGCUUUCGCCUGUGAAGAAGCGAGAGUGACGGUAACGGGUAAAGAAGCACCGGCUAACUACGUG